rnacentral:misc_RNA from 1 species
GAAAUGCGAUAAGUAAUGUGAAUUGCAGAAUUCAGUGAAUCAUCGAAUCUUUGAACGCAACUUGCGCUCCUUGGUAUUCCGAGGAGCAUGCCUGUUUGAGUGUCAUUUAAUUCUCAACCCCUCCAGUUGUCUUGACUGGUUAGGUGGCUUGGAUGUGGGGGGAUUAACUGCGGGCCUCCUCAGAGGUCGGCUCCCCUGAAAUGCAUUAGCGGAACCGUUUGCGGAACCCGUCACUGGUGUGAUAACUAUCUACGCCAAAGGACAUCUGCUCUCUGGUAGUUCUGCUUCUAAUUGUCCUUCAUAAUGGACAAAUGUAUAUCUAUUACUUGACCUCAAAUCAGGUAGGACUACCCGCUGAACUUAA